AAGAACGCUGGCGGCAGGCCUAAGACAUGCAAGUCGUACGCGAACGACCUUUCGGGGUUAAGUAGAGUGGCGAACGGGUUAGUAACGCGUGGGAACAUACACAGCACAGGGGGAUAACCAUUGGAAACGAUGGCUAAUACCGCAUACGCCCUAUUGGGGAAAGAUUUAUCGGUGUUGGAUUGGCCCGCGUUAGAUUAGCUAGUUGGUGGGGUAAUGGCUCACCAAGGCGACGAUUUAUAGCUGGUUUGAGAGGAUGAUCAGCAACACUGGAACUGAGACACGGUCCAGACUCCUACGGGAGGCAGCAGUCGGGAAUAUUGUGCAAUGGGGGCAACCCUGACACAGCCAUGCCGCGUGAGUGAAGAAGGCCUUAGGGUUGUAAAGCUCUUUCAGAUGUGAGGAUGAUGACGAUAGCAUCAGAAGAAGCUCCGGCUAACUUCGUGCCAGCAGCCGCGGUAAUACGAAGGGAGCUAGCGUNGUUCGGAAUUACUGGGCGUAAAGGGCGUGUAGGCGGAUUAUCAAGUUAGGGGUGAAAUCCCGGGGCU
rnacentral:rRNA from 1 species